CCUACGGGGGGCAGCAGUGAGGAAUAUUGGUCAAUGGGAGAGAUCCUGAACCAGCCAAGCCGCGUGAGGGAAGACGGCCCUAUGGGUUGUAAACCUCUUUUGUCGGAGAACAAAACCCGGGACGAGUCCCGGACUGCGUGUAUCCGAAGAAAAAGCAUCGGCUAACUCCGUGCCAGCAGCCGCGGUAAUACGGAGGAUGCGAGCGUUAAUCGGAAUUACUGGGCGUAAAGGGUGCGCAGGCGGUUGAGUAAGACAGAUGUGAAAUCCCCGAGCUUAACUCGGGAAUGGCAUAUGUGGCUGCUCGA
rnacentral:rRNA from 1 species